rnacentral:rRNA from 1 species
GCUGAAUGUGGGGAUAAUUUAUCUCCGUGUUGUAGCUAACGCGUUAAGCACUCCGCCGGGGACUACGGUCGCAAGAAUAAAACUCAAAGGAAUUGACGGGGACCCGCACAAGCGGUGGAGCAUGUGGUUUAAUUCGAUGCAACGCGAAAAACCUUACCACUCCUUGACAUGGAGAUUAGAUCCUUCUUAACAGAAGGGCGCAGUUCGGCUGGAUCUCGCACAGGUGCUGCAUGGCUGUCGUCAGCUCGUGUCGUGAGAUGUUGGGUUAAGUCCCGCAACGAGCGUAACCCUCAUCCUUAGUUGCCAGCGGGUAAGCCGGGCACUUUAAGGAAACUGCCGGUGGUAAACCGGAGGAAGGUGGGGAUGAUGUCAAGUCAGCACGGCCCUUAUGGGGUGGGCUACACACGUGCUACAAUGGUGACUACAAUAGGUUGCAAUGUCGCAAGGCUGAGCUAAUCCGUAAAAGUCAUCUCAGUUCGGAUUGUCCUCUGCAACUCGAGGGCAUGAAGUCGGAAUCGCUAGUAAUCGUGGAUCAGCAUGCCACGGUGAAUACGUUCUCGGGUCUUGUACACACUGCCCGUCACGCCAUGGGAAUUGGCUUAACUCGAAGCUGGUGCGCUAACCGAAAGGAAGCAGCCAU